rnacentral:rRNA from 1 species
UACGUAGGGUGCGAGCAUUAAUCGGAUUUAUUGGGCGUAAAGGACGCGUAGGCGGGAUGUUAAGUCAGAUGUGAAAGCCCGGAGCUCAACUCCGGAACAGCAUUUGAAACUAGCAUUCUUGAGGGUAGACGGAGAAAACGGAAUUCCACAUGUAGCGGUGAAAUGCGUAGAUAUGUGGAAGAACACCAGUGGCGAAGGCGGUUUUCUAGUUUAUACCUGACGCUGAUGCGUGAAAGCAAGGGGAUCAAACAGG